UACGGGGGGGGCAAGCGUUGUUCGGAAUUACUGGGCGUAAAGGGUUCGUAGGUGGCCAACUCAGUCAGACGUGAAAUCCCUCAGCUUAACUGGGGAACUGCGUCUGAGACUGGAUGGCUUGAGUGCAGGAGAGGAACGCGGAAUUCCAGGUGUAGCGGUGAAAUGCGUAGAUAUCUGGAGGAACACCGGUGGCGAAGGCGGCGUUCUGGACUGCUACUGACACUGAGGAACGAAAGCCAGGGGAGCAAACGGG
rnacentral:rRNA from 1 species